CUUCACUACAAUACUAGUUUCCUGUGGCUGCUGCAACAAAUUACCACACACUUAGUGACUUAAAACAACCAAAAUGUAUUCCCUUACAGGUCUGAAGGCCAGAAUUCUACAGUAAGUCCUACUGAGUCAAGGUGGGAGCAGGGUCGGUAGCUUCCGAGGCUCUGCGGGAGAAUCCGUUUCCUGGCCGUAGAGGUGGCCUGCACUCCUCAGCUUGUGCUGCCCGUCUCGAAUGACUGGAGUUUCCUGCUUCUGUCACUACACCUCCCACCCUCUCCAUCACCUGCUCUGCUCUUACAAGGAUCCGAAGAAAUGGAAUCAUCGUAUCGCUGAUCUACGUAAACAAACUGAAGAAUUGUCUGAAAGAAAAUAUGGUAUGUCUAAACUGGAAAAGUCUUGUAAUCUUAUGUUCAUGGGCGUUUACACAGUGGAGUUACUGUUCAUCAUGGGGGUACCGUGGACAAGCCCAGGGCUGCCGGCGAGUCAUGCCAUCCUUACAUGUUUCUCCUUGUAAGACAUGAACUUAUGAAUUCAACAGGUGAAGAUUUACAACUUGAUAAAUCAACUUUGUCAGGUACGUCUUCAGUCAAGUCAGAUUAGAAGAUUAUGUGAGGUAAUUAACACUUAACAUUGAUUUAAUGGUAGCUUCCACAUGAAAUAGUAUGCCUCUAAGUAUUAAUUAUGUCCUAGGACAGGAGAAUUCAUGUUGUCAAAAUUCUCAUACUCUCUAGAACAAUAAACUCAUUUUCUUUUUAUUAGUAAAUAUUGCAUUUAUGGGUAGACAAAACUGAAAGAACAAUAUUUGUUCUACUUUUGAGAUGCAAGAUUCAUCUGGUAUAAUGCAUUGAACAGGUUAUUAUUGAAGUCUACACCAGUCAACUGAAUAAGCAUUCAUCAAAUGUCCAUGAUAUGCAGGACAUAAGUUUUCUUUUAGAGUAUGGAACCAUGCAUAUUAUCUUUUAAUUAGAUGAUUUAGUUAGAUAUGUUUUUAAAGAACUAGAAAUAUAAUUGAUUUUCUUGUUUUGGCUCUGGAGUGGAGUGGGGACGAAACAGAAUGGAUUCACACUUGUUUAGAUUUACUAAAAUGGAAAGAUUGCAGCAAGAUCAUAUCCCUAGUCUCCCUACUCCCUAUAGCAAAUGUCACCUGCUAGCUGUUUUUUUUUUUUUUUUUUUUUUUUUUUUUUGGAGGUUGAAGUUUUGUUCUGUCACCCACGCUGGAGUGCAGUGGUAUGAUCUCAGCUCAUGGCAAGCUCACCUCCUGGGUUCAAGCAAUUCUCCCUGCCUCAGCCUCCUAAGUAGCUGGGAUUACAGGCCUCUGCCACCACGCCUGCCUAAUUUUUGUAUUUGUAGUAGAGUUGGGGUUUCACCAUGUUGGCCAGGCUGGCCUUGAACUCCUGACUUCAGGAGAUUCACCCGCCUCAGCCUCCCAAAGUGCUUGGGAUUAUGGGUGUGUCACUGCACUUGGAUUUAAUGGGAUAUUUCACUACAGACUUCGGUAAACAGAAUAUUAGCAUUUUUGGUGUUCUUUUUAUUUUACUCAUACUGUUUUUCUUUGGACUCAAUCACAAUAACAGAAUUAAAGAUCAAAGUGUAAAAGUUA
rnacentral:lncRNA from 1 species